CCUACGGGGGGCAGCAGUGGGGGAUAUUGCACAAUGGGGGAAACCCUGAUGCAGCGACGCCGCGUGGGUGAAGAAGCGCCUCGGCGCGUAAAGCCCUGUCAGCAGGGAAGAAAAUGACGGUACCUGAAGAAGAAGCCCCGGCUAACUAUGUGCCAGCAGCCGCGGUAAUACGUAGGGGGCAAGCGUUAUCCGGAUUUACUGGGUGUAAAGGGGGCGCAGACGGCGAUGCAAGCCAGGAGUGAAAGCCCGGGGCCCAACCCCGGGACUGCUCUUGGAACUGCGUGGCUAGAGUGCAGGAGGGGCAGGCGGAAUUCCGGGUGUAGCGGUGAAAUGCGUAGAUAUCAGGAGGAACACCGGUGGCGAAGGCGGCCUGCUGGACUGCAACUGACGUUGAGGCCCGAAAGCGUGGGGAGCAAACAGGAUUAGAUACCCCAGUAGUC
rnacentral:rRNA from 1 species